CAGACCGGGCGACGAUGUUUCGUGUGUUGCAAUACGCGGUGGAUGUCGCGCACUCGACCGGAGUGGCGCGAUGUUGUUGGUGGUGUACACCGUGUGCCUGAUGUCUCCAAUAGGGCAAACACAAAUGUUGCCAGUGAUGCGGGGACAAUUGUGAAUACGGUAUACUUGCGUUCGGGCGUCGAACAAAUACGGUGAGGAAGCGGCUGCGACCACUAUACGUUUAUGACAGCCGGGGAAACAUCGCGUGUGCAUUGCAGCUGGUCUUGCAAUGGGAAAACGAAUGCAAGGGCUAAAGACGUUCUCCUGCCAAGAGUUCACGGAACAAAUGACCUUGGAGUGUACUUCGAUAGCUCUCCGAAUUUCUCGCCCCACGCUCAACAGACGAGGCAGCGUGCACUUCGAACGCUCGGCACAGUAUGUCGGGUGACGAGAGACUUCAAACAACCUGGGCCAUUUGUAACUUCAAUAUAAAAGCGUAUGCCUUCCA